UACUUAGGUAAAAUUCAGUCUUCUUUUUGGCUUAGUAACUUACUAAAAUGGCUUUAGCAUUUUACUAAAUCGUUUAAAAUUUUGCGCCAUUAUAGUUUGGUUUCUAUUGGUCGGAUAUUCAAUAUUAGGGUGUUCAGGCUCAGUGAAAAUGACAAAGCAUCAGGAUUUUGUUUUUAAAAUGUAUUUUUUUAAGUUAAAAUAUUGAGAACAUCUUUAAAAAGUAUUAAAUGCAAAAAUGCAUAUUAUACAUUUGUUAGGUACGUCAUAGGGAAAAAACUUCUGCUUAAUACAUUAAUUACUUAACUACAACUACCAGAAGGAAUGUUAAUUAUUUAAUUUAUUUUACUGUUUUGAUUUAUAAUUUAAUAGUUAUGAUGAAAGUUUUAACAUAAUCUAUAACACAUAUAUGUACAUAAACAGCUGUGAACAUUUAAACAGCUGCUGCUUUGGGCAAAUUUUAAAAUUAUAUUUUGCAUUGGGCGGUACUUCAGUCUUCAUAUCCAAGGUUUUGAACUUUAUAAACUUAAACUUAAGCUUACUAUUCUCUUGAAUAAGGCAUUAACUGAAACACUAGUUUCAGCCCUUACAUUGAAAUAGCAGUGUCUUUGUUUUUUUUUUCUGUUUCAAGCUUCCAAAAAUAUAUUUUAAAUUUUUUUAGGAAAACAUUUUUUUUAAUUGAGAUUUCUUAUAUUCGAUAAGAUCGAAAUGUCAAAUUUUUUUUAAAAUGGAAAAAAAAAGAUUUUAGAGAAAAAAACUUACCAGUUCAUCCGAGAUAUUCAGCCCUAUCGGCAAUACAAUUUCCCUGGAAAAAUUUAUCUAUUCCAAAAAAUCGGUAUCGGCAAUACUUUUUGAAUGGAACAAUUUCCUAUUAAAAAAUUCCCACACAAAAAAAUGAAGUUUCUCCCCCGAAGUAUUUCUAUCAUAUUUUUUAUGGGGAACAGAUUUUUUGAAGCCAAAAUGCAACAAAAAGCAAAUGAUAUUGCAACUGGAUAACGCAAAAAGAGUACAAAAAAUAAAAUAUAAGAAAACCUUAAGAAAAUCAUGAAACUAGAGGAGACCAUUCCGGGACUAUUAGUUUGCUGUUUUGGACGAAGAAAUGAUCAAAUUAUGAGGAAUGCCUCAAUUUGUUUCAGUUAUUUGUUUAUCAUGUCAAAAAAAAAAACAAAGCUUAAGAAAUCACAAAUGAAGAGUUGUGAUUCUUUAAUUA